UCACCGCCUGCUCCCUCUCUCCA
rnacentral:siRNA from 1 species